AGGACGAACGCUGGCGGCGUGCUUAACACAUGCAAGUCGAGCGGUGAUCCUCCUUCGGGAGGUGAGCAGCGGCGAACGGGUGAGUAACACGUGGGCAACCUGCCCCUCACACUGGGAUAACCUCGGGAAACCGGGGCUAAUACCGGAUAUGACCUCGAGCGGCAUCUCUUGAGGUGGAAAGCUCCGACGGUGAGGGAUGGGCCCGCGGCCUAUCAGCUUGUUGGUGGGGUAAUGGCCUACCAAGGCGACGACGGGUAGCCGGCCUGAGAGGGCGACCGGCCACACUGGGACUGAGACACGGCCCAGACUCCUACGGGAGGCAGCAGUGGGGAAUAUUGCGCAAUGGGCGAAAGCCUGACGCAGCGACGCCGCGUGAGGGAUGAAGGCCUUCGGGUUGUAAACCGUCUUUCAGCAGGGACGAAGCGAAAGUGACGGUACCUGCAGAAGAAGCACCGGCUAACUACGUGCCAGCAGCCGCGGUAA
rnacentral:rRNA from 1 species